rnacentral:rRNA from 1 species
AACGAACGCUGGCGGCAGGCCUAACACAUGCAAGUCGAGCGAAGCCUUCGGGCUUAGCGGCGGACGGGUGAGUAACGCGUGGGAACGUGCCCUUUGCUACGGAACAGCCCCGGGAAACUGGGAGUAAUAACGUAUGUGCCCUUCGGGGGAAAGAUUUAUCGGCAAAGGAUCGGCCCGCGUUGGAUUAGGUAGUUGGUGGGGUAAUGGCCUACCAAGCCGACGAUCCAUAGCUGGUUUGAGAGGAUGAUCAGCCACACUGGGACUGAGACACGGCCCAGACUCCUACGGGAGGCAGCAGUGGGGAAUCUUAGACAAUGGGCGCAAGCCUGAUCUAGCCAUGCCGCGUGAUCGAUGAAGGCCUUAGGGUUGUAAAGAUCUUUCAGGUGGGAAGAUAAUGACUGUACCACCAGAAGAAGCCCCGGCUAACUCCGUGCCAGCAGCCGCAGUAA